rnacentral:tRNA from 2 species
GGAGAGGUGACCGAGAGGCCGAAGGUGCAGCACUGGAAAUGCUGUGUACUGUCACAGGUACCGAGGGUUCGAAUCCCUCCCUCUCCG